GUUUUUAUACGACCGCAAAAUUUGAAAAAUUUUUCGUCGUAUAUUGUUAUACGACCGCAAAAUUUGCAAAAUUUUUCGUCGUAUAUUGCUAUCACGUUGGCGUCCGAAUACUUUUAGUUUUCGCACUCUAACUUUAGUAAAAGUGAAUAGAAAUCUAUGAAAUUUUAACACAAGGUUUAUGACCACAAAAGGAAGGUUGGGAUUGAUUUUGGGAGUUUUGGUCCCAACAUUUUAGGAAUUAGGGGCCAAAAAGGGCCCAAAUAAGCAUUUUCUUGGUUUUCGCACUAUAACUUUAGUUUAGGUGAAUAGAAAUCAAUGAAAUUUAAACACAAGGUUUAUGACCACAAAAGGAAGGUUGGGAUUGAUUUUUGGAGUUGAGGUCACAACAGUUUAUGAAUUAGGGGCCAAAAAGGGGCCCAAAUAAGCAUUAUUUUUGGUUUUUGCACCAUAACUUUAGUAUAAGUAAAUAGAAAUCUAUGAAAUUUAAA
rnacentral:lncRNA from 1 species